GGUGCAAAGGCGGAAGGCUGCAGAAGCCGCAGCAGCAGGGUUUCGGGCACAGAUUGUAACUAGUGCGUGUGACCGCGGUGGUCAGGAGGACUUUGAAGAGGCAAUCUAUUUAUGCACAGAACACUCUAGCUCUGCUAACACUGAGAGCGCAAACACCCCUUGUUCUCUCAUUUAGAGACUUGCAUCUUCUUGGCACUCAACACUUCCCAAGGCACUGCUACCACAGAUGUUGCUGUUGUAGGAACCUCUUCCGGUCCCUAAAGGAAGUAGGACACAGAAGGAAGGAGAUUUGCUCAAAGCUGUCAGCAUCUGGGAUUGACUUAUGCAGAGACCAUUUCUGCUUUCCUGAGGAGACUUGACGCCACAGUGUCUUCCCAGGU